rnacentral:rRNA from 1 species
AUACGGAGGGUGCAAGCGUUAUCCGGAAUCAUUGGGUUUAAAGGGUCCGUAGGCGGGCGAUUAAGUCAGAGGUGAAAUCCCGCAGCUCAACUGUGGAACUGCCUUUGAUACUGGUUGUCUUGAACUUUAGUGAAGUAGAUAGAAUAUGUAGUGUAGCGGUGAAAUGCAUAGAUAUUACAUAGAAUACCGAUUGCGAAGGCAGUCUACUAACUAACAAUUGACGCUAAUGGACGAAAGCGUGGGGAGCGAACAGGAUUAGAAACCCUAGUAGUCC